rnacentral:rRNA from 1 species
ACCGAUUGAUGGCUUAGUGAGGCCUCCGGAUUUGGCUAGCGCCGAGGGCAACCUUGGCUCGGGCCGGAGAAGCUGGUCAAACUUGGUCAUUUAGAGGAAGUAAAAGUCGUAACAAGGUUUCCGUAGGUGAACCUGCGGAAGGAUCAUUAAUAUUAUUACUACACACGUUUCGAUUACCAAACACACACCCUUAUGUCAAACACACACAAUAACUAAAACUUUCAACAACGGAUCUCUUGGUUCUCGCAUCGAUGAAGAACGCAGCGAAUUGCGAUACGUAGUAUGACUUGCAGACGUGAAUCAUCGAAUCUUUGAACGCACAUUGCGCCUUGAGGCAUUCCUCAAGGCAUGCCUGUUUGGGCGUCGGCCCUUCUCAAGCCCCCCGGCUUGGUCUUUGCAAGAAAUCUCAACGCCCUUUGUCUAAGCACCAAAGGCCCCCAUUUCUUCCCCAAAUCAGGUAGGACUACCCGCUGAACUUAAGCAUAUCAAUAAGCGGAGGAAAAGAAACCAACAGGGAUUGCCUCAGUAACGGCGAGUGAAGCGGCAAAAGCUCAAAUUUGAAAUCCCUCGGGAGUUGUAAUUUGAAGGAGGUAGGCUACGCGCGGCAACGGCCCAAGUCCAUUGGAACAUGGCGCCAGGGAGGGUGAGAGCCCCGUCCGGCCACGCGCCGCGUCCGCAGUCUGCCCCCGACGAGUCGAGUUGUUUGGGAAUUGCAAGAAAUCUCAACGCCCUUUGUCUAAGCACCAAAGGCCCCCAUUUCUUCCCCAAAUCAGGUAGGACUACCCGCUGAACUUAAGCAUAUCAAUAAGCGGAGGAAAAGAAACCAACAGGGAUUGCCUCAGUAACGGCGAGUGAAGCGGCAAAAGCUCAAAUUUGAAAUCCCUCGGGAGUUGUAAUUUGAAGGAGGUAGGCUACGCGCGGCAACGGCCCAAGUCCAUUGGAACAUGGCGCCAGGGAGGGUGAGAGCCCCGUCCGGCCACGCGCCGCGUCCGCAGUCUGCCCCCGACGAGUCGAGUUGUUUGGGAAUGCAGCUCAAAGUGGGUGGUAAAUUCCAUCUAAAGCUAAAUAUUGGCGAGAGACCGAUAGCGAACAAGUACAGUGAUGGAAAGAUGAAAAGCACUUUGAAAAGAGAGUGAAACAGUACGUGAAAUUGUUGAAAGGGAAGGGCUUGCAAGCAGACACGGCUUUUGCCGGGCCAGCAUCGGUUUGGGGAGGCGGACAACCGCGGGAGCAUGUGGCGCACCUCGGUGCGUGUUAUAGCUCCCGUCCAUACGCCUUCCCCAGUCCGAGGCCUGCGUUCUAAACUAGGAUGCUGGCGUAAUGGUUGCAAGCCGCC